GGGUGGCGGCCACCGCCCUUCGCCUCAGGUGAGGGAAAGGCUGGAGCGCCCGGAGGCUCCUCAGGCAGCGGCCGUUACCGCCCGGCGCGAACGGAGCACGCAUGCACGCUGCUCCCCCCCUCCCUUUACCCCUGCGGGCCGCCAUUCGCUGAGCGCCCAGCCCGCCUCCUCUCUCACUGCCGGUCCUGCGCAUGUGUUGUAGGAGGGGGAGCGUUACCUAUACAAAUAACACAUUUUAAGAAGUUAAACUCCAAGGAACCAUUAGGAGGAAAUACUCCCCAUUCUGAAAACCACCCAAAACAGACUCUAAACUCUCUAGAAGAUAACAUUACUUUGGAAUUGAAGAAUCAUACAAUAGCCCAGAGAUUAACAUUCAUCAUGCUGAGAUUUGGGCAGCACAUCAUCAAGCCCUCCGUGGUCUUCCUGAAGACUGAGCUCUCCUUUGCUCUUGUGAACCGCAAGCCGGUGGUCCCAGGCCGUAUCCUUUUGAGCAGUGCCUUGGCCAUGGGUGCUCGUGCUCUGUGGAGAAGCUGAGGAAGGUUGGCGCGUGCUCCAAAGGCCAGGUAGGAUCUGCGCGGAUUUAUUCUGAAACCAGGCGGUGGAACAUAAUACACUUGAUUGGUGUUGCAGAACUGCCGAAAAGGGUUGCUUAGCAACUGUGACCUUACAGGUGAAUUUCUAUUGACCUUUUCACCACAGAAGAUGUAUAAACAACCAGGUGCUACUAAAAGCAUUUUAAAGUGUAUCUGAGAUGAUACUGUUUAAAUUUCAUAUUAUGCUAAAUAACACAUCCUGCUUCCCUUUUAAUAACGUCACUUAUUUUUAGAUGUGGUAACUUCUUUAUGGAGGAUUUUCAACUUCUUGUAGCUAAAUGUACACGAUUUGUCAAAUGGCAGCAGAAUUCUCUAUGAAGACUAUUAUUUUUUGGGGGGGGAACAGAUUGCUUUGAUUAAUUUAGGUAGGAAUGGAUUAAAUAAACCAUCUGUAUAGCAAACA
rnacentral:lncRNA from 1 species